GGGAAAUCCAAAACCUGUCCAGCAGGAGGCAACAAAGACCUCAUCUUCUGCUCAGGAACCCAAGGAGCCCCUCCCUUCAAAGAGUGGAGCGGGAGGCUCUCAAGCCUUCAGAUCACAGAAGAGACUCCUCAGUAGUCUAGCUAUGACAACCUAUGCUCCAGUGCGUAACGAUGUGUUGCUGGGAACCCCGUACCGCCCAAAUGCUGGCAAUGCUCCACCACAGACUUCUAUCCCCCCUCGCCACCCCCCCCCCCCGUAGCGGCACACCCUCAUCACGAGCCAAAGUGGAAGAAGUCAGAG
ensembl:lncRNA